CUGUCACAUCUCAGAGAAACUUGAGUGUUCUGCAUGCAAGAAAAGAGCUCCAGUCCUCCAGAUGAAGAGAUGGAGCCUUCUGUGCACAGGAGGAACAGAGGAGUUGGAGGAGUUCCAAGCACCAUUCUUUGCUUCCAGCAGAGCCUUGUACCAUGGGUUAAUGAAGUAAUGAGAAAAACACGGUGGGAAUUUCUUUCUUACAACUCCAAAGGGCAAAAAUCAUCUCAAAUGCAUCAGGACUAAGAGUUGGAGUGACUACGAAGCACCAAUGUUGCCACCUUUCCAAGAAGAAAGAGAAGCACCAAAGUGGCUGCCCCACCCUGCUGGACCAACCUCUUGGGCCCUUUGUCCUUCCCACAGCCAUUGCCAGAUGUUUCCGAGGACAAUUCGGAUCGCUGUAUAAAUCAUGAAGCCUCUCUCUAAUUCUUUUCAACUUGGUGAACCUACUCGGUGCUGUUGUUGGUUACACAAAGCUCUGCUCAUUUCACGUCUCCUGGGGCUUUGCAACAGGAUCCAAGACACUGUGAGGAGUCAUCUGUCUUCUUUCUCCAACACAAAGAGAAGCUGAUCU